GACGAACGCUGGCGGCGUGCUUAACACAUGCAAGUCGAACGGAAAGGCCCUGCUUUUGUUGCGCGCUUGACUGGCGGACGGGUGAGUAACACGUGAGUAACCUGCCCCUGACUUUGGGAUAUCUUCAGCUAACUGGGGCUCAUACCGGAUAGGCGUUCUUGCUGCAUGGUGGGGGUUGGAAAGUUUCGGCGGUUGGGGAUGGACUCGCGGCUUAUCAGCUUGUUGGUGGGGUAGUGGCUUACCAAGGCUUUGACGGGUAGCCGGCCUGGGAGGGUGACCGGCAAAAUUGGACCUGGGAAACGGCCCAGCUUCCAACGGGAGGCAGCGGGGGGGAAUAUGGCCCAAUGGGGGGAAGCCUGUGGAGGAACGGCGGGGGGCGGAAUGCCGGCUUUCGGGUGGUAACCCGCUUUCGCCUGUGACGAAGCGUGUGUGACGGUAAUGGGAAAAGAAGCACCGGCUAACUACGUG
rnacentral:rRNA from 1 species